GCGGGAUGCCGCCUGUUUGCGUCUCGUCGAGGGGUUGGACGCAGGCGUGGGAUCAACGGGGGGUAGUGUUGUGGACGGAGCGGUGCCUGCCUGACCGAGCUAGACGGCACAAGGCGUCGGCGAUUUUGGACCUCCCCGCUGCCCUACAUCGUCCCUUCAAAUCCCAGACAGUGGUGUGUGCUGAGUUUUGAUUACCAUGAGAUGCGAGACUGGUGAAAGAAGAUGUUGUCCCGACGGAUGGUGCCUACUUACAGGAAGGAGCCAUGGAGAUCGACAUGUAGUAAAUGACUGUUUAUCUUGGUUAAAGUAAAGGUGCGUAUGCUUUUCUAAAUUUUACAUCAGCUGGCAUAUUCCCACAUUGUUUACGAGACUAUUCUGUAGCACCCUUUUUACUCGAUCACUAUUUCAUUCUUGUUACGGUGUAUAGGGCCCAAAGUACCAGGAAAUUGUAAACAUCCGAAUGAGUGAUGGUACUAAUCGGCGUGGUCUGGUUCUAGAAGUUGAUGCUGAAAGAGGUGUUGUGCAGGUCUUUGAAGCCAGGCACUUCAUGAAUAGACAACAAAAGUUCAUCGGCGAGAUUUUGUGAACUCCUGUCUCGCUUGAUAUGCUUGGAUGUCUUUUUAAUGGUUCUGGAAAACCUGUUCAUAAUUUUGCAUGAGGCCUACUUGGACAUCUCGGGCAAGUGCUUUCUCCGUUCAGGCACACUGUUCUGAAGUUCCAGUAAUCCAAGUGAGAGAACCUACCCUGAGAUGAUUGAAACAAGGAUAUCUGCGAUUAAUGUCGUGAACUCCAUUGAUCGAGGGCAAAAUAUUCCUCUCUAUUCUGCUGUUGGGCUUCCUAAUUGUUGCUCAGAUUAGUUGUCUUGCUGGUCUUCCCAAGAAUUUGGAGAAAGGCAAGCACGCAGAGCUCACCAAGUUUGAUGAGAGGCAAAAGUGAAGAUGCUCACAAGGGGCGCGAGAGAGUGUGGCGAAAAGACAAACAAGGGUGCCAUUUCAUCCCAGUGAUGCUGAUGUCAAGACCGGGAGAUGGCACCGCAGAGAGAACAAGAAAUGGCGUUGCUCCAGAGAUAUAGUUGGAGACCAAACUAUUGCAGGCAGCACAUAAACCGUGGUCGCCAGUGUUCAAGAAACCAUGUCCAAGGUCGAAAGAUGACACCCACCAUUGCAGAAUAGAGCCAUGGUUUGUUCCUGGUGAUGUAUUGUCAUAGAUUUAGUUGGUGGGAAUAAACUAACAGCAGGAGCAGCUUACAUGUAAUAGAAAGUGGUGGUCUAACUCAUCUCACUAGAAUAGCCAUUUACUUCAAAAUUGUAAAUCAAUCUUGUAUGCUGCAACUUUAGGUUCUGCAACUUUGAAGUUCAAAAAUUAAGGUCACGCUGUGCUGUAUCAUAAGACAUAGGUUUAUCUUUGAA